rnacentral:rRNA from 1 species
GCAUUCCUAACACAUGCAAGUCGAACGGCAGCACGGGUGCUUGCACCUGGUGGCGAGUGGCGAACGGGUGAGUAAUACAUCGGAACAUGUCCUGUAGUGGGGGAUAGCCCGGCGAAAGCCGGAUUAAUACCGCAUACGAUCUAUGGAUGAAAGCGGGGGACCUUCGGGCCUCGCGCUAUAGGGUUGGCCGAUGGCUGAUUAGCUAGUUGGUGGGGUAAAGGCCUACCACGGCGACGAUCAGUAGCUGGUCUGAGAGGACGACCAGCCACACUGGGACUGAGACACGGCCCAGACUCCUACGGGAGGCAGCAGUGGGGAAUUUUGGACAAUGGGCGAAAGCCUGAUCCAGCAAUGCCGCGUGUGUGAAGAAGGCCUUCGGGUUGUAAAGCACUUUUGUCCGGAAAGAAAUCCUUGGCUCUAAUACAGUCGGGGGAUGACGGUACCGGAAGAAUAAGCACCGGCUAACUACGUGCCAGCAGCCGCGGUAAUACGUAGGGUGCAAGCGUUAAUCGGAAUUACUGGGCGUAAAGCGUGCGCAGGCGGUUUGCUAAGACCGAUGUGAAAUCCCCGGGCUCAACCUGGGAACUGCAUUGGUGACUGGCAGGCUAGAGUAUGGCAGAGGGGGGUAGAAUUCCACGUGUAGCAGUGAAAUGCGUAGAGAUGUGGAGGAAUACCGAUGGCGAAGGCAGCCCCCUGGGCCAAUACUGACGCUCAUGCACGAAAGCGUGGGGAGCAAACAGGAUUAGAUACCCUGGUAGUCCACGCCCUAAACGAUGUCAACUAGUUGUUGGGGAUUCAUUUCCUUAGUAACGUAGCUAACGCGUGAAGUUGACCGCCUGGGGAGUACGGUCGCAAGAUUAAAACUCAAAGGAAUUGACGGGGACCCGCACAAGCGGUGGAUGAUGUGGAUUAAUUCGAUGCAACGCGAAAAACCUUACCUACCCUUGACAUGGUCGGAAUCCUGAAGAGAUUCGGGAGUGCUCGAAAGAGAACCGGCGCA